rnacentral:rRNA from 1 species
AGUCUGAAGCAGCAACCCCGCGUGAGUGAAGAAGGUCUUCGGGUCGUAAAACUUUGUUGUUAGGGAAGAACAAGUACGAGAGUAACUCCUCGUACCUUGACGGUACCUAACCAGAAAGCCCCGGCUAACUACGUGCCCGCAGCCGCGGUAAUACGUAGGGGGCAAGCGUUUUCCGGAAUUUUUGGGCGUAAAGCGCGCGCAGGGGCUCCUUUAAGUCUGAUGUGAAAGCCCCCGGCUCAACCGUGGAGGGUCAUUGGAAACUGGGGGACUUGAGUGCAGAAGAGAAGAGUGGAAUUCCACGUGUAGCGGUGAAAUGCGUAGAGAUGUGGAGGAACACCAGUGGCGAAGGCGACUCUUUGGUCUGUCACUGACGCUGAGGCGCAAAAGCGUGGGGAGCAAACAGGAUUAGAUACCUUUGUAGUCCACGCCGUAAACGAUGAGUGCUAAGUGUUAGAGGGUUUCCGCCCUUUAGUGCUGCAGCAAACGCAUUAAGCACUCCGCCUGG